GUGUAUGUGUGUGUGUGUGGGUGUGUGUGUAUAUAUAUAUAUAUAUAUAUAUAUAUACACACACACACCCACACACACACAU